rnacentral:rRNA from 1 species
AGUAACGCGUGGGUAACCUGCCUUAUACAGGGGAUAACAGUCAGAAAUGGCUGCUAAUACCGCAUAAGCGCACAGAGCUGCAUGGCUCAGUGUGAAAAACUCCGGUGGUAUAAGAUGGACCCGCGUUGGAUUAGCUAGUUGGUGGGGUAACGGCCCACCAAGGCGACGAUCCAUAGCCGGCCUGAGAGGGUGAACGGCCACAUUGGGACUGAGACACGGCCCAG